rnacentral:rRNA from 1 species
AUUGAACGCUGGCGGCAUGCUUUACACAUGCAAGUCGAACGGUAACAGGCCGCAAGGUGCUGACGAGUGGCGAACGGGUGAGUAAUGCAUCGGAACGUGCCCAGUCGUGGGGGAUAACGCAGCGAAAGCUGCGCUAAUACCGCAUACGAUCUAUGGAUGAAAGCGGGGGACCGUAAGGCCUCGCGCGAUUGGAGCGUCCGAUGUCAGAUUAGGUAGUUGGUGGGGUAAAGUCUCACCAAGCCAACGAUCUGUAGCUGGUCUGAGAGGACGACCAGACGCACUGGGACUGAGACACGGCCGAGACUCCUACGGGAGGCAGCAGUGGGGAAGUUUUGACAAUGGGCGCAAGCCUGAUCCAGCAAUGCCGCGUGCAGGAAGAAGGCCUUCGGGUUGUAAACUGCUUUUGUACGGAACGAAACGGUCCUGGUUAAUACCUGGGGCUAAUGACGGUACCGUAAGAAUAAGCACCGGCUAACUACGUGCCAGCCGCCGCGGUAAGAC